CCAUGUCUAAGUCAUAGAGUUUGUAUUAAGAUUGUGAGAAAAAUGUAAUUUUUUCUUUUAUUGGAUCGAUCAUGCAGGAGAUUGUCGUUUGGUGAUUGCGAUGAUCUUCUUUUUAUUGUUUCUGAGUUGUGUUUGAGUGUUUUAUUAGGUUUUGUCACGAAAUCGCCAAAGGGGGAGAUUGUUAAGGAUUUUCUAGGUUGGCGAAUUUCGUGAAGUCGAAUGGAGUCUUGAAGAGUUGAUCGCGGAAGUUUGAAGAGAAGAUUCACUUUGAAGAAU
rnacentral:lncRNA from 1 species